GACGAAGGGGGCUAGCGUUGUUCGGAAUUACUGGGCGUAAAGCGCGUGUAGGCGGUUGUUCAAGUCAGGUGUGAAAGCCUUGAGCUCAACUCAAGAAAUGCACUUGAUACUGGAUGACUAGAGGACCGGAGAGGAUAGUGGAAUUCCCAGUGUAGUGGUGAAAUACGUAGAGAUUGGGAAGAACACCAGUGGCGAAAGCGCUCUGCUGGACUGCAACUGACACUGAGGGACGAAAGCUAGGGGAGCGAAAGGG
rnacentral:rRNA from 1 species